rnacentral:rRNA from 1 species
GACAAACGCUGGCGGCGUACCUAAGACAUGCAAGUCGAACGGGACUUUCCGCUUCGGCGGGAGUCGAGUGGCGGACGGGUGAGUAACGCGUAGGAACCUGUCGCACAGUGGGGGAGUAACACGGGAAACCGGUAGCUAAUACCGCAUGUGGUCAGCGAUGACGAAAGCAGCAAUGCGCUGUGUGAGGGGCCUGCGUCCGAUUAGCUGGUUGGUGGGGUAAAGGCCGUAACCAAGGCGACGACGGUAGCUGGUCUGAGAGGAUGGUCAGCCACA